rnacentral:ncRNA from 1 species
GGGGCCGCACGCGCGUUACACUGACCGGAUCAGCGAGAGCUCUCCUUGGCCGACAGGUCCGGGAAACCCGUUGAACCCCGGUCGUGCUAGGGAUAGGGAAUUGCAAUUAUUUCCCUUGAACGAGGAAUUCCCAGUAAGCGCGAGUCAUUAGCUCGCGUUGAUUACGUCCCUGCCCUUUGUACACACCGCCCGUCGCUACUACCGAUUGAAUGGUUUAGUGAGGUCCUCCGAUUGGACCCGGUCCGGGCGGCGACGUCCGAGCCGGCGUCCGAGAAGACGAUCUAACUUGAUCAUUUAGAGGAAGUAAAAGUCGUAACAAGGUUUCCGUAGGUGAACCUGCGGAAGGAUCAUUA